UGGGCCUCAAAUAAUGUGUGACUACCCCCUA
rnacentral:rRNA from 10 species